ACCACGCCGCCGGCACACGGAGAGGCUUUCCCGCCCUUCGCCGGCUGCUAGUGCUGCAGCUCUUGUGACCCUUAAAACUGAAGGCCCUUUAAUUGUCCUGUCUCCGCCUUGGGUAGAGUGCAGCUUGGGCUCUGUUUGCCUUGGUUGAGUGCUCAUGGCGCUGAAGGCUGAGGGCUAGGCGGCUCCUUGGAGAGCACCCCUCAGGCGAGGCCUGGCUUGGCGGCGCGCGGGCCUCAGGGAAGCUGUUCAGACCCCCACCUCAACCGCAGGCGCGAACUGCAAGAAGUUCUCUGAGACAGUGGGAGAAUUAAGGACCAUCUGCUUCUGGAUAAAGAAGAGCUCCUCAGAGUCGUUGUGUAUGUACUGGAGUGUCACGCUGUGACACUUCUUUUCCACCGAACACUAGACCAUCAGAAGUUCUGCAGAUGCCAUCUACUAGCAAGAGGACCUUCUGCUCCCAGUGGCAGCAGCCGUCACUGUUGCUUUUCCCAAGGGUUUCACAGAACAGACCUGCCUCCUCCAUCUGCAUCUUAGCGUGAAGGCUAUGAUCACACCUCCAGAGGGUAAAUACUCCCCCAUUGCUCUAGCUGGUCUUCUGUGACAUGUUUCAAGUCACUAACCGGUUUGGUGCCUCCUCCAGGCAUGCUCCAGUUUUUCCAAGUCAGUUGUUGCAAACUUAGAGCCUACGGGCGGGGCCAAGCCAGUGACAUCAGUGCAUGACAUGGGUGGAGCACAACUGGGAGGGGCGACAACUGCAGCAAAGAGAGAAUCAAUGCCCCAGUUACUGGAAACAAUCAUUUUCAUUUCAGCCAAUUGUUACCACACAGAAUUGGAGCCCUAGCAUUGCCAGAUCUUUCACUUUUCAGUAGAAACAGAAAAUUUGGAUUUGGAUUUGAAAUGUCCAGAUUUUUUUUUUUUUUCUUUUCGGGGCCACACUUGCGGCAUAUGGAUGUUCCCAGGCUAGGGGUCUAAACAGAG